GGUCCUAUAGCUCAGUUGGUUAGAGCAUUCGGCUAAUAACCGAAAGGUCGCCGGUUC
rnacentral:tRNA from 1 species